CCUACGGGGGGCUGCAGUGGGGAAUAUUGCACAAUGGGCGCAAGCCUGAUGCAGCCAUGCCGCGUGUGAAGAAGGCCUUCGGGUUGUGAAGCACUUUCAGCGGGGAGGAAGGCGGUGAGGUUAAUAACCUCAUCGAUUGACGUUACCCGCAGAAGAAGCACCGGCUAACUCCGUGCCAGCAGCCGCGGUAAUACGGAGGGUGCAAGCGUUAAUCGGAAUUACUGGGCGUAAAGCGCACGCAGGCGGUCUGUCAAGUCGGAUGUGAAAUCCCCGGGCUCAACCUGGGAACUGCAUUCGAAACUGGCAGGCUAGAGUCUUGUAGAGGGGGGUAGAAUUCCAGGUGUAGCGGUGAAAUGCGUAGAGAUCUGGAGGAAUACCGGUGGCGAAGGCGGCCCCCUGGACAAAGACUGACGCUCAGGUGCGAAAGCGUGGGGAGCAAACAGGAUUAGAUACCCCGGUAGUC
rnacentral:rRNA from 1 species